rnacentral:sRNA from 2 species
ACAACAAAGCAGAAGCAUCCCGCUUCUCACCAUGUACAGACAAUCUGUGCUGGUCCAUCAUGAUGAUAUGUGAUAGUAGAGUGUUCUCUGACUAUUGUAUUCUUUAUGAGUGUGGGCGGGAAAAACUGCCGACGCUUUUUUUAUAGC